GAUGAAGAACGCAGCGAAAUGCGAUAAGUAAUGUGAAUUGCAGAAUUCAGUGAAUCAUCGAAUCUUUGAACGCACAUUGCGCCCUUUGGCAUUCCGAAGGGCAUGCCCGUUCGAGCGUCAUUACACCAAUCAAGCCUGGCUUGGUAUUGGGCGUCGGGAGACCCCGCGCCCCCAAUUCAUCGGCUGGACGGUUCGAAUCUCAGCGUUGUGGUCAUUCAAUUCGCUGGCGAGGACGAUCGGACGCGCCGUUAAAUCUCUUAUCACAGGUUGACCUCGGAUCGGGUAGGGAUACCCGCUGAACUUAAGCAUAUCAAUAAGCGGAGGA
rnacentral:misc_RNA from 1 species